rnacentral:lncRNA from 12 species
UAAAUGAAUAAAGAAGGUUAACUUGAAUUCUUAAAGAGAACUAUCUGUGCUUACGUGGGUGUUUCAUCAAGGGGUCAAGAAUAAUAUGAAAGGAGCAAAGACAAAUUAGAACUGUAGAAUACUAGUGCAAUAAACCCAAAUAAAUCAGUUUUAAAUGACCAGAUUUGUGAUCCUCCAGAGAGCACUGUUGCAAGAAAUCCCAGUCUCAUCUCUUCCUGCCCACACGCAUUCUUUCUAAUAAGAUCAAGAAGACACAGGCAGCUCUGUGGCCUAUUUGAGAUUUAUGCAGCUAUCCGAAGGAACAGCCCCAUUUUUCAUUCCUUUUAACCCUUCCCCUGCCCUCUCCCCAUUCUGCUCUAACAAACCCAAGCAAUAUAAUAAUGGCAACAUCUGCCAUGCAGUUAUGCAGCAUGAGAUCUGAAAACCUUUGCUUUCCAGGUGCAUAUCUGCAGAGCAUAGUGAGAGGUCUGGGAUUCCAGAUGCUGGGGAUCAUCAUCAUCAUCAUCAUCAUCAUCAUGGUUCCAUGUUCUUCCUGUUUUGAAAAGUGAAGAUCAUGAAAUAGCAAUGAACUUCUGCAAAUAGCUCCUUUCCAGCCUUUUGGACUCACAGUCUGCUCCAGCCAGGAUGGAUUUACAAAGUAUGGAGAAGAUGGGGACUGACUUCCUUUCCUCCCCUGCUUUACUGGGAGUAAAUAUUUCCUACUUUUGGGUCACAGACCAUCGUCACAGAUCACAGUCACAGAUCACAGCCAUUCUCCCUUUUCCCUGAUUCCAGCAGAUCAGGCCUUUCACCCAGGCAAUUGCAUUAUUUUAUUUCUUAAAAAACCAUGAAUACAA